rnacentral:rRNA from 1 species
CACGAAGGGGGCUAGCGUUGCUCGGAAUCACUGGGCGUAAAGCGCACGUAGGCGGCUUUCUAAGUCAGGGGUGAAAUCCUGGAGCUCAACUCCAGAACUGCCUUUGAUACUGGGAAGCUCGAGUCCGGAAGAGGUGAGUGGAACUCCGAGUGUAGAGGUGAAAUUCGUAGAUAUUCGGAAGAACACCAGUGGCGAAGGCGGCUCACUGGUCCGGUACUGACGCUGAGGUGCGAAAGCGUGGGGAGCAAACAGG